UGGUCGAACGAUGAAGCCCAGCUUGCUGGGUGGAUUAGUGGCGAACGGGUGAGUAACACGUGAGUAACCUGCCCCUGACUUCGGGAUAACCACGAGAAAUCGUGGCUAAUACCGGAUAUGACACGUGCCUGCAUGGGUGUGUGUGGAAAGAUUUAUCGGUUGGGGAUGGGCUCGCGGCCUAUCAGCUUGUUGGUGGGGUGAUGGCCUACCAAGGCGACGACGGGUAGCCGGCCUGAGAGGGUGACCGGCCACACUGGGACUGAGACACGGCCCAGACUCCUACGGGAGGCAGCAGUGGGGAAUAUUGCACAAUGGGCGCAAGCCUGAUGCAGCGACGCCGCGUGAGGGAUGACGGCCCUUCGGGUUGUAAACCUCUUUCAGUAGGGAAGAAGCUCUUCGGGGUGACGGUACCUGCAGAAGAAGCGCCGGCUAACUACGUGCCAGCAGCCGCGGUAAUACGUAGGGCGCAAGCGUUGUCCGGAAUUAUUGGGCGUAAAGAGCUCGUAGGCGGUUUGUCGCGUCUGCUGUGAAAACGCAAGGCUUAACCUUGCGCCUGCAGUGGGUACGGGCAGACUAGAGUGCGGUAGGGGAGACUGGAAUUCCUGGUGUAGCGGUGGAAUGCGCAGAUAUCAGGAGGAACACCGAUGGCGAAGGCAGGUCUCUGGGCCGUUACUGACGCUGAGGAGCGAAAGCAUGGGGAGCGAACAGGAUUAGAUACCCUGGUAGUCCAUGCCGUAAACGUUGGGCACUAGGUGUGGGAUCCAUUCCACGGGUUCCGUGCCGCAGCUAACGCAUUAAGUGCCCCGCCUGGGGAGUACGGCCGCAAGGCUAAAACUCAAAGGAAUUGACGGGGGCCCGCACAAGCGGCGGAGCAUGCGGAUUAAUUCGAUGCAACGCGAAGAACCUUACCAAGGCUUGACAUACACCGGAAAAGUGCAGAGAUGUGCUCCCCGUAAGGUCGGUGUACAGGUGGUGCAUGGUUGUCGUCAGCUCGUGUCGUGAGAUGUUGGGUUAAGUCCCGCAACGAGCGCAACCCUUGUCCUGUGUUGCCAGCACGUUAUGGUGGGGACUCAUAGGAGACUGCCGGGGUCAACUCGGAGGAAGGUGGGGAUGACGUCAAAUCAUCAUGCCCCUUAUGUCUUGGGCUUCACGCAUGCUACAAUGGCCGGUACAAAGGGCUGCGAUACCGCGAGGUGGAGCGAAUCCCAAAAAGCCGGUCUCAGUUCGGAUUGGGGUCUGCAACUCGACCCCAUGAAGUCGGAGUCGCUAGUAAUCGCAGAUCAGCAACGCUGCGGUGAAUACGUUCUCGGGCCUUGUACACACCGCCCGUCACGUCAUGAAAGUCGGUAACACCCGAAGCCGGUGGCCCAACCCCUUGUGGGAGGGAGCUUCGAAGGUGACGCAGGGGGAUU
rnacentral:rRNA from 1 species